UACGUAGGGUGCGAGCGUUAAUCGGAAUUACUGGGCGUAAAGCGUGCGCAGGCGGUUAUGCAAGACAGAGGUGAAAUCCCCGGGCUCAACCUGGGAACUGCCUUUGUGACUGCAUAGCUAGAGUACGGUAGAGGGGGAUGGAAUUCCGCGUGUAGCAGUGAAAUGCGUAGAUAUGCGGAGGAACACCGAUGGCGAAGGCAAUCCCCUGGGCCUGCACUGACGCUCAUGCACGAAAGCGUGGGGAGCAAACAGG
rnacentral:rRNA from 1 species